UACAGAGGUCUCAAGCGUUGUUCGGAUUCAUUGGGCGUAAAGGGUGCGUAGGUGGCGGGGUAAGUCUGGUGUGAAAUCUCGGGGCUCAACCCCGAAACUGCACUGGAUACUGCCUCGCUCGAGUACUGGAGAGGAGAUUGGAAUUUACGGUGUAGCAGUGAAAUGCGUAGAUAUCGUAAGGAAGACCAGUGGCGAAGGCGAAUCUCUGGACAGUUACUGACACUGAGGCACGAAGGCCAGGGGAGCAAACGGG
rnacentral:rRNA from 1 species